ACACUGUAGUGGGGGUGUACUACAGGUCACCAGAUCAGGAGGAGGAGGUUGAUGAGGCCUUCUACAAGCAGCUGGAAGUAGCCUCAUGAUCCUGGGUGCUGGUUCUCAUGGGGGACUUCAAUUAUCCAGACAUCUGUUGGGAAAGCAACUCGGCGAGGCACGUGUAGUCCAAAUGGUUCCUUCAAUGGAUUGAAGAUAAUUUUCUGACCCAGGUGGUGGAGGAGCCGACAAGGCGGGGGGUGCUUCUGGACCUUGUUCUUACCAGCAGGGAUGGGCUUGUUAGGGAUGUGAAGGUUGGUGGCAGCUUGGGAUGCAGCGACCGUAAGAUGGUGGAGUUCAAGAUGGAACUUGGUGGAAAAAGUAAGGCUAAAAGUAGGAUUGAAACCUAGGUGCCUGAAGACUGGAGGAUAGCCAAUGUCACUCCGGUCUU